rnacentral:rRNA from 1 species
UAGGGAAUCUUCCGCAAUGGACGCAAGUCUGACGGAGCAACGCCGCGUGAGUGAAGAAGGUUUUCGGAUCGUAAAACUCUGUUGUUAGAGAAGAACAAGUGCUAGAGUAACUGUUAGCGCCUUGACGGUAUCUAACCAGAAAGCCACGGCUAACUACGUGCCAGCAGCCGCGGUAAUACGUAGGUGGCAAGCGUUGUCCGGAUUUAUUGGGCGUAAAGCGAGCGCAGGCGGUUCCUUAAGUCUGAUGUGAAAGCCCCCGGCUCAACCGGGGAGGGUCAUUGGAAACUGGGGAACUUGAGUGCAGAAGAGGAGAGUGGAAUUCCAUGUGUAGCGGUGAAAUGCGUAGAUAUAUGGAGGAACACCAGUGGCGAAGGCGACUCUCUGGUCUGUAACUGACGCUGAGGCUCGAAAGCGUGGGUAGCAAACAGGAUUAGAUACCCUGGUAGUCCACGCCGUAAACGAUGAGUGCUAAGUGUUGGAGGGUUUCCGCCCUUCAGUGCUGNAGUUAACGCAUUAAGCACUCCGCCUGGGGAGUACGACCGCAAGGUUG